rnacentral:tRNA from 1 species
GAAGGUGUAGCUCAGUGGUAGAGUGCAUGCUUAACAUACAUGAGAUCCUGGGUUCAAUCCCUAGUACCUCCA